rnacentral:rRNA from 1 species
UGGGGAAUCUUGGACAAUGGGCGCAAGCCUGAUCCAGCCAUGCCGCGUGAGUGACGAAGGUCUUCGGAUUGUAAAGCUCUUUUUGGCGGGGACGAUAAUGACGGUACCCGCAGAAUAAGCCCCGGCUAACUUCGUGCCAGCAGCCGCGGUAAUACGAAGGGGGUUAGCGUUGUUCGGAAUUACUGGGCGUAAAGCGCACGUAGGCGGAUCUAUAAGUCAGGGGUGAAAUCCCGGGGCUCAACCUCGGAACUGCCUUUGAUACUGUAGAUCUCGAGUCCGGAAGAGGUGAGUGGAAUUCCUAGUGUAGAGGUGAAAUUCGUAGAUAUUAGGAAGAACACCAGUGGCGAAGGCGGCUCACUGGUCCGGUACUGACGCUGAGGUGCGAAAGCGUGGGGAGCAAACAGGAUUAGAUACCCCGGUAGUCCCUGAGCGGGCUGGCAAGGCGCAU